ensembl:lncRNA
GGUCUCUGUAUGCGUCCAGACACUGGAGCAGUCGUUACGCCAGGACUAACCGGGCAGUUCGCCCCCUGGGAAACUACAGCGUUGUACUACUACGCUCCGUUCAUAACGUGCUAAAGGCCAAAGAAAUUCGGUAUAACUUUAGGAGAUGUCCGAAAGGUUCCUUUUUAUAAACUCAGUGACACCUGGUCGGGUGUCCGCUGUUAUGGCGACCGCCCCGGUGAGCGAGGCAGAGUUCACAGUAAACCCAAACCAGACAGCAGAGGGUUUCAUCAAGGCGCAGUGUGUUCUCCUGUUUGCCAAAACUCAGUUCUGGAUGGAAUCCCCAAGCUCCCAGAAGAUUCCAUGACUCCUGGACUACAACUCCCAGCAGCCACCAGGAUGUGUAACAUUCUGUGACAUCAAACUGAGGGGUUUAGGACUAUAAUAGUCAUUUCAUAAAUAAUUCUCUAGCCAUUUUUAGUAGGCCUACUAAUGCUGUAUAUUGUGUAUAUUUGAUCAUACACUACACUGUUGUUUUUACUUGUCCCAGGGUUUGAGUUGUGUGACUGGACCGUGUUAGGCUGAUCUAGGAAGACACUUGUCCCAGGGUUUGAGUUGUGUGACUGGACCGUGUUAGGCUGAUCUAGGAAGACACUUGUCCCAGGGUUUGAGUUGUGUGACUGGACCGUGUUAGGCUGAUCUAGGAAGACACUUGUCCCAGGGUUUGAGUUGUGUGACUGGACUGUGUUAGGCUGAUCUAGGAAGACACUUGUCCCAGGGUUUGAGUUGUGUGACUGGACUGUGUUAGGCUGAUCUAGGAAGACACUGAGGCUCAUGUUGGAACUUGGCUUUGCGGGAGGGAGAUAUCUUAUCAGGCAGGUACAUGAUGCUGUCCUACUGGCACAGAGAACAGUGGGGUCAGAGGUCAGCCUCCUCGAGCCUCACAGCAAUCCCAACUGUGUACAACAUAGACAUCACUCUGACCCUCCACCCUCUCCUCUUUCGAACACUCCUGUACCCUCUUAUGACUGUUUAAUAACCCCUGUGCUUCAUGUGACAGGACACACACACAGAAUAAUGGGUCACAUUCAGAAUGUCCCAUCCUGUCUGUCAACAGUAGUUCAUUUUAUUCAUAUCCAGUAGCAUCAGAAUAAUUUUUUAAUAAUGGUGUUGACAUCACUUCCCCCUGAAACCUCAACAGGCAGAGACUGUGGACCUGAACACAGACUCAUGCUCUCACGCACGAUCUUGAUUGGUCCGCUUGUCCCGUCCAACCCCCACCUCCUUGUCUUAGUAGUUCUCCGCCUCGUG